rnacentral:rRNA from 1 species
UACAGAGGGUGCAAGCGUUGUUCGGAAUUACUGGGCGUAAAGGGCUCGUAGGUGGUCAACUAAGUCGGACGUGAAAUCCCUCGGCUUAACCGGGGAACUGCCUUUGAUACUGGCUGUCUUGAGUCCGGGAGAGGUGAGUGGAACUCCUAGUGUAGAGGUGAAAUUCGUAGAUAUUCGGAAGAACACCAGUGGCGAAGGCGGCUCACUGGACCGGUAUUGACGCUGAGGUGCGAAAGCGUGGGGAGCAAACAGGG